AUUGGGAGUGCAGGGGCGAAACCUCCGCGGUAUUGAUCUGUAUGUUUUUGGGCCUAGGACUUAUUUGUAUGCACGUAUUAUAUAAGUGCGUUUAGUGGGUUGUUUCGGGUUGUUCUCAUAGACACGAAAUUGAGACUAUCGUCUCCACGUGUGUACUCCUCUCCAUUAUAGUGAAUUCCUCUGCCUCUGCCCGUAGUUUUUCC
rnacentral:lncRNA from 1 species